rnacentral:rRNA from 1 species
UACGGGGGUGGCGAGCGUUGUCCGGAAUCAUUGGGCGUAAAGGGCGCGUAGGUGGCCCCUCAAGCGUGCGGUGAAAGUCAGGGGCUCAACCCCUGAUCGGCCGUGCGAACUGGGGAGCUUGAGCACUGUAGAGGCAGGCGGAAUUCCGGGUGUAGCGGUGGAAUGCGUAGAGAUCCGGAAGAACACCGGUGGCGAAGGCGGCCUGCUGGGCAGUUUUGCUGACACUGAGGCGCGACAGCGUGGGGAGCAAACAGG